AGGAGCCGGAUGAAUCGAGAGAUUCACGUCCGGUUCUGCGAGGGCCUGCGGGUGCGAUUCCCGUGGGCUACUCACC
rnacentral:ncRNA from 1 species